rnacentral:rRNA from 1 species
CCUACGUGAGGCAGCAGUGAGGAAUAUUGGUCAAUGGACGAGAGUCUGAACCAGCCAAGUAGCGUGAAGGAUGACUGCCCUAUGGGUUGUAAACUUCUUUUAUAAAGGAAUAAAACGAGGCACGUGUGCCUUUUUGCAUGUACUUUAUGAAUAAGGAUCGGCUAACUCCGUGCUAGCAGCCGCGGUAAUACGGAGGAUCCGAGCGUUAUCCGGAUUUAUUGGGUUUAAAGGGAGCGUAGAUGGGUUGUUAAGUCAGUUGUGAAAGUUUGCGGCUCAACCGUAAAAUUGCAAUUGAUACUGGCAGUCUUGAGUACAGUUGAGGUAGGCGGAAUUCGUGGUGUAGCGGUGAAAUGCUUAGAUAUCACGAAGAACUCCGAUUGCGAAGGCAGCUUACUAAACUGCCACUGACAUUGAUGCUCGAAAGUGUGGGUAUCAAACAGGAUUAGAUACCCCAGUAGUC